UACGGGGGGGGCAAGCGUUGUUCGGAAUUACUGGGCGUAAAGGGCUCGUAGGCGGCCAACUAAGUCAGACGUGAAAUCCCUCGGCUUAACCGGGGAACUGCGUCUGAUACUGGUUGGCCUGAAUCCGGGAGAGGGAUGUGGAAUUCCAGGUGUAGCGGUGAAAUGCGUAGAUAUCGGUAGGAACACCAGUGGCGAAGGCGGUCUCCUGGGGCAUUCUUGACGCUGAGGCGCGAAAGCUGGGGGAGCAAACGGG
rnacentral:rRNA from 1 species